rnacentral:rRNA from 1 species
GACGAACGCUGGCGGCGUGCUUAACACAUGCAAGUCGAACGAAAAGAGGGAAAGAGCUUGCUCUUUCCGGAAUUGAGUGGCAAACGGGUGAGUAACACGUAAACAACCUGCUUUCAGGAUGGGGACAACAGACGGAAACGACUGCUAAUACCGAAUAAGUUCCAAGAGCCGCAUGGCCCAUGGAAGAAAAGGUGGCCUCUACCUGUAAGCUAUCGCCUGAAGAGGGGUUUGCGUCUGAUUAGCUGGUUGGAGGGGUAACGGCCCACCAAGGCGACGAUCAGUAGCCGGUCUGAGAGGAUGAACGGCCACACUGGAACUGAGACACGGUCCAGACUCCUACGGGAGGCAGCAGUGGGGAAUCUUCCGCAAUGGGCGAAAGCCUGACGGAGCAACGCCGCGUGAGUGAUGACGGCCUUCGGGUUGUAAAACUCUGUGAUCCGGGACGAAAAGGCAGAGUGCGAAGAACAAACUGCAUUGACGGUACCGGAAAAGCAAGCCACGGCUAACUACGUG